rnacentral:rRNA from 1 species
GACGAACGCUGGCGGCGUGCUUAACACAUGCAAGUCGAACGGACCGAUUCCGGUAGUUUACUGUUGGGGAAGGUUAGUGGCGUACGGGUUAGUAACUCCUGGGCAAUCUGCCCCUCAGUCCGGGUUAACAAAGCGAAAUUUCUGCUAAGACCGGAUACUCUUAACUUGCCGCUUGGUUGGUAAUGGAAUGGGAACGGUUAGGGAUGUGCGCGCAUCCCAUUAGAUAGUGGGUGAGGUAACGGCCAACCAAGGCAAGGAUGGGUACCCGGCCUGGGAGCGGGGAAGACCACACGGGGACUGGGACACGGCCGGAACUCUUAGGGGAGGAGGAAGUAGGGAAUUUGGAGAAAGGGGGGGAAGCCGAACCAAGCAACGCGGCGGGAGGAACGAAGGUCUUCGGAUCGUAAAGCUUUGUCAUCGAUGAAGAUAAUGACGGUACUCGAGGAAGAAGCCCCGGCUAACUACGUG